GGUUCAGAUCUCCUGCCCUGUAUGUAGUUGUGCAUGUUCAUAUAGCUGCUGAAUAGUAAGCAGACUAGUUUCAGAGCCUGCUGUUUAGUUUUUUUGUGCUCAUCUUUGUUUAGAUUCUUGUUUGUUGUACUGUAUGUAGCAGAUAGCAUCCAUAUUGCAGACUAGAGUUUUCUGUUUGUUCGUUUUGUUUUGUAUUUCUGAAUGUAUCAGCUAGCAUUUCAGCUUUUGUAAUUUAGAGUAUGUACAUUCAUAGCACGCACGUACGUACGGGGGAGUGUCGUACGUGCUGUCUGUCCUUGUUGUUGGCUUCACCGUGCCGCCGUGCCGUGAAUCUUUCUUCUUCAUUGAUCUGCAUCUAGCGGCUAUGACUUUUCAAGUGUGCCCGCCUUGCUGGAAGUCUGCACCCUUAACUGUCAGCCACGCAUUGCACGAGCGUAUGUGCCGGUGCGUGCCGGUAUGUGCCGGUGCGUACCGAGUUGAGUGCCACCUUCCUCUGCGAUCCAGGCCAGGUGUGCCCUCCCAUCACCCGCGCUUACUGAACCCAAUGAUAUGAAACUAACCUUGCUAUCCAGCCCGGUCACUUGGGUGGAGCUGGUGCACUAUCCAGACCAUGAGCCUUUGAAGAUAUCCAAGACCGGCUCCUCUCCAGCUGCCGACAUUGAGUGCAAGUUCCUGCUGACAUUGAGUUGUUUGUUUUGUUUUUUUUUCUGAAUGUAUCAGCUAGCAUUUUCAGUUUUUCUAAUUUAGAGUCUGUACAUUCAUGUACUUCUAGCUCAUUUAUAUAGGGCAGCACUUCUAGGACCCAGUUUGUCAUCUUCAGUUCCAGUCUGUGUUAUCAUUCAUUUUCUUAGAAUCGCGAAUAUAAUUCUUCCAUUUGAGAUCAUGGAAGUUAUUUUUUUGCAGUGGGGAUACUGAGAUAUUAUAUGUGUGCUUGUGGAGUUCAUUCAGCAGAACUUCUGUUUGUUUGUUUUUUUGUCCUAGUAUACGGUUGUUUUUUUGUUCUGUAACUACGACGCCUACCGCUUUCUCUUGAAUAUGAUUUCACACAUCGCUGUGAUUCUUUAUUCUUCUUUUUGGGCUUUUUUGCCUGAAGUUAGAACCAUGCAUCUGCGGCUGUUCUUUUUCCAUCUUUCUGUUUAAUCUUGAUAAGUACUCUAGAAUCUUAUUCACACAUCGUCUGGAAUUUUGUGGGGCAUCGGCUUGAGUCUGUAUAAUAUCCACAGUUUAGUAAGCUGGACUUUUAUGUUUAUUGUUCCUGUCUGACAACGCCUUUUUUACCCGGUGUCUGAUUUGUGCUGGAGCAGGCCCUUUUUUUUGUUUAGCCUCCUCAUGCAUGUAUUUCUGGAAGCUUAGUUCGGUGAUGCCCAGAGCAAGAGGGAAUGUCUCAAUUUUUCUCAUGACCAAGUUUUUUUGCAUUAAUAAGUGCAGAUACCAAGUGUAAUUAUAGAGCUUUUGCAAAUUUGCUUGACUAAAAGAAUACUUGUCUUUUUCUUUUUCUCUUCUCAGGUUUUGUCUUGUGAGCUAUGUGGGAACUUUUGCCAUGGUAGUGCUGACAACAACUUCAAGAUCGACAUUCGUGAUGAGUUCCUGUCUAAAGCGACUGUCCCAUGCAAUGCAAGAGUCUACGUCAAUGGUGUUACCGGGGACUACAUGCGUUUUGAAGCCCAUGGACGCAAGUACUCUGUCGACAUUGUGAAGGGGGCACACAGGACCAGGAUCAAGGGGAGUGGCUGGAAGAAAUUCACUUCUGACUUUUCUCUUCAGAAGGGUGCUGUGGUCAUUUUUGACUUGGACAGGCGUCCCCGCCAGGCAUAUGUUGUCGCUCAAAGUGUUGACUUGCACACAGUUGAAGGAAGCUCUUCAGACGGGGAUGCUGAUGAAGAGAUGGUAGAUGGAGGCAUCUCAGAUGUGGAUGAAGACGGUGGCAACAUAAAGAUCGAGUAUACAAGGGGUCUAACUCUGAAUGAUGCACAACAGGACAUUCUCAAUGAACUGGUGCUCAGCUUCAAGUCCAAGUUUUUAGGAGUGUCUUUUGUACACUGUCUUACUACAACUGACACUCAAGUUGGACAAAUGGUAUGUUUUGUUGUUUCUUUUUUAUUAAAUUUUUGCUUUUUGUGUUUACUUUAUUUUGUUUAUAUGCAUUCAUUAUUUUCUUAAAUGCAUGCAGUUUUUGUUGCGUUUGCUUCAAGCUUUUUUAUUUUCAUGUUUUUUGUUUUCUGUUCUUUGUUGUCGAUACAGAAAGUGCCAGCGAGGGUUGCUACAAGCUUGAACAUCCCUAAAAAAGGGUUGGCUUGUGUUCGUCUAAGCAGUGGGGAGGCAAAGACUCGUGUUGAAUACAGCACGUCUACUGAUGGACGUAUAGCUUUCAACAAAAAGCAGUGGAGGCGUUUCCUUUCAAAGACUACCCUGGAAAUCAAUGACUGCAUCUUCAUGUUCUUCAAGGCCAGCAACAAGUCUUGCAUGAAUGUUACUGUUGUCGUCAGCAAACUUUAAGUUUCACUUUCUUUUUCGAGAAGCUAUGUUCCUAGUUAUGUAGUAUGCUGAUGCAAAACAUCGCUGCGGUCUUUUGUUUAUGCGGUUGACAAGAACCAAGUAACCCCUCCGGCUCGUCGUUUGCGAUGUUUUAUUAUCUAUGUGUGUUUCAAAACUAUGUGGAAUAUGUGUUUCUCGUAAUGAUAAGUGAUGUUAUAUAUUUUUCAUCAGUAUGUUUCUUUAGGAGUAAAGGCGUUUAUGUUUUUUUAAUGUUUUCUUGUUAUGAUUUGUAACGAUAAA